CUUACCCAAAACCUCCACUGUUAUUGUUCUCAUCUUGAUAGCCCACUUGUAUCAUCUUUCCACCAUCCUUAUACCCCUUGUUUCUUGAGCCCAAAGGUAGAACUACAGACUAAAAUUGGAAGCAAGUGGGGAGAAUGCUGAAUAGAUAUUUCCAGGCCUCCAAAGCUGAAGGUCCUGUGAAGGCAGAAACCAUGUCUGUCUGGUUCUUUUUCACGUCCACAUAAACGGCAGGAAGUCCUUAUUGAAUAAAUGGAGUAACGGAAUAUAAACAGCC
rnacentral:lncRNA from 1 species